UUUUUAUCAGCCAGAACUUCACCUUGGUGAGUACAAGAAUAGUGGGAAUCGGAGGAACUGGAAUAAGAAAGGAGGACCAGACCUAAGGGACAAGAUCAAUUACAAACGUGAUAGGGAUCAAAGAAACUACAGAGAUGACAGGAGGGACAGGGGGCAAAGCAACAACAACAACUCUUUUCACAAGAUUGACAAGAGGAACUACAAGUGCCAUAAUUGUGGUAAUACAGGCCACUUCAGGUCAGAAUGCACCAAGAAGAGGAAGCCGAAUAGCGAAAGGAAUAAUUUUCACAAGGAUGACAGCCGCAAGGGGAAUCAAUCCCCUGAAGCUGCAGGGGUUUACUGAUGCUGAUUGGCAAGGGGAUCUUGAUGACCGGAAAUCAACUUCUGGUUAUCUGUUUACACUAGCAGGAGGAGCUAUUUCUUGGAGUAGCAAGAAGCAAGAUUCUGUAGCACUUUCAUCUAUGGAGGCUGAAUAUAUUGCAGCGUCGGAAGCUGUGAAAGAAGGUGUAUGGUUAAAGGGGUUUCUUGCGUCUCUCGUGGUGGUGGAAAGCGCUUCAUAUCCUGUUACUAUUUUCUGUGAUAACCAGGCGGCAAUCAAGGUCUCAAAGGAUCCCUGCUUUAAUUUGUUCUCAUCAGUCAUCACACCGCAGUAGAGCCUGAGAGCAGUAAGUAAAUAGGAAGAAGUAGUUUCAGUUUCAAGGCUCGACAAUCUCCAUAUGGCUUCCAAGCAGAUGCUUGCCGUGGCGGUGGAAAUCGCCAUGGUCUUCCUCCCCUUGCUCGCCGCCUCAACCACUGUGCACCCCGUGGGCGACGGCAGUGGGUGGACGCUCGGUUUCGACUACACCGCCUGGUCCGAGAGCAAGCAGUUCACGGUCGGCGACGCGCUAGUGUUCAAGUACAACAAGGCGCUCCAUAACGUGGUGGAGGUGAGCGGCCCGGAUUUCAAGGCGUGCAAGAACACCAAGGGCGGCCCCGCCUGGAGGUCCGGUGCCGACCAGGUCCACCUCGGCGACGCGGGGAGGAGGUGGUUCAUCUGCACCGUGGGCAACCACUGCCAGAUGGGCUUGAAGCUCAACGUCACCAUCCUCGCCGCGGACGCGCUUUCGCCUGCGCCGCCUGCACCAGCUCCGUGGUCGACGGUGCCAUCGUCGUCUACUCCUCACAAGUCCAGGCGGCCCUUUGUUUCCAAGUGGUGAUGACCUGCCGCUGCCGGGCAUGCAGCGCCCUGUAUCAACUAUACUUGUUCGUGUCUGUUUUUUUGCUAGUCACAUCGUGCACGGUGUGAUCAAUAUCGCACACUGCUGGAUCCAUGUAAUGUUCCCCGUACCAUGACGAUUUAUUAGUUGUUCGACUCGUGCUAUACACAUACAAUAAAUUGAAUUGCCCGG
rnacentral:rRNA from 1 species